UAGCAGAAACAAUUACAGAAUCUCUUCCUGCAGCUCUAAUAGUAUCAAGAUUCUGUAUCGUCGGAUAUGUGACGUAUACUGCAAUCGACUUCAAUAUUCCAUAUCCAUGCUAUUAAUCGUACGAUGUUUGAGAUUAUUACACAUUGAAUGGAGAGAUACAUUUUCCAAAUAGUGAAUAAAGAAGGAAACAUGUCGGUCGUCGACCAACUUAGAUAUGCGGAGUCAAUGUCGAGAACUAAGGUUCAGUGCACGUACGUGUGUGCAUAUAUCAUAAUAUUGGGUAAUGACCAAUGAGUAAAGUCGAUUACGCGUAAAUUGACUGCAAAUGUGCCAAACAGUCGCCGCCGCCGGUCUUAGUACGCUAUAGCCAGGUACACUUGCGUCGCGUAUACUGUGUAGCAUUAUACGUAUCUGGCGGCGCGUGCAAUUUAUGUAAAUCGUAUGAGUUGGUUUUUUUUCGAUCGGCGACGAGCCCUAUCGUGCCGAAGCCGAACCACAUACGUAUAAUAAUAUAAUAAUAACACACAAUAUAAUUUACGUAUUAUACGUGUACCGCGUAGUGUUGUAGAUAUAUGUAGGUAUAUAUUGUAUAUAUUAUAUUUAUAAAAAAAAAAAGAGCACCCCCGAAGGGCUUGCUAUUAUUAUCAUCAUAAUAUACACGCUGUCGAGCGAGCGUGCGCGAUCUCCUAUCCAUCUACGGCAGUAUACGGUAUACGUAUAUUGUAUAUGUUUAAACGGUCCAGCGUUAAAUCCGGUGACUGAUGGCACACACACACACACACACACACACACACACACACACUUUGAGUCUGUCGUAUCCCGUUUCAUCGGUAACGUACCCGCCGGGCCGCCGCGCGCGUAUGAAACCGGUCCCCUCAGCGCCCCGGACACGACGAUUAUGAUGACCAGCUCGGGCCGACGGCUAUAUACGACGGUGUGUGUGUGUACGAGUAGCGGACUGACUGGACGUCGUGGCGUGCGCAGUGAUUGACGGCCAUCGAUUAUAUACUCU